rnacentral:rRNA from 1 species
GACGAACGCUGGCGGCGUGCCUAAUACAUGCAAGUCGAACGCUGAAGGAGGAGCUUGCUCUUCUGGAUGAGUUGCGAACGGGUGAGUAACGCGUAGGUAACCUGCCUGGUAGCGGGGGAUAACUAUUGGAAACGAUAGCUAAUACCGCAUAAGAGUAGAUGUUGCAUGACAUUUGCUUAAAAGGUGCAAUUGCAUCACUACCAGAUGGACCUGCGUUGUAUUAGCUAGUUGGUGGGGUAACGGCUCACCAAGGCGACGAUACAUAGCCGACCUGAGAGGGGGGUCGGGCAAACUGGGACUGGGACACGGCCCAGACUCCUACGGGGGGCAACAGUAGGGGAUCUUCGGCAAUGGGCGGAAGUCUGACCGAACAACGCCGCGUGAGUGAAGAAGGUUUUCGGAUCGUAAAGCUCUGUUGUAAGAGAAGAAAGAGUGUGAGAGUGGAAAGUUCACGCUGUGACGGUAUCUUACCAGAAAGGGACGGCUAACUACGUG